AUUGAACGCUGGCGGCAGGCCUAACACAUGCAAGUCGAGCGGAUGAAGGGAGCUUGCUCCUGGAUUCAGCGGCGGACGGGUGAGUAAUGCCUAGGAAUCUGCCUGGUAGUGGGGGAUAACGUCCGGAAACGGGCGCUAAUACCGCAUACGUCCUGAGGGAGAAAGUGGGGGAUCUUCGGACCUCACGCUAUCAGAUGAGCCUAGGACGGAUUAGCUAGUUGGUGGGGUAAAGGCCUACCAAGGCGACGAUCCGUAACUGGUCUGAGAGGAUGAUCAGUCACACUGGAACUGAGACACGGUCCAGACUCCUACGGGAGGCAGCAGUGGGGAAUAUUGGACAAAGGGCGAAAGCCUGAUCCAGCCAUGCCGCGUGUGUGAAGAAGGUCUUCGGAUUGUAAAGCACUGUAAGUUGGGAGGAAGGGCAGUAAGUUAAUACCUUGCUGUUUUGACGUUACCAACAGAAUAAGCACCGGCUAACUUCGUG
rnacentral:rRNA from 1 species